rnacentral:ncRNA from 1 species
CAACACCGUCACUGCUCCCAACCAAGACCUCUGUAGGCAGUAUAAUACUUCGUCUUUCAUAUCCAGUAGUGAGGGAUUACUGGAAAUAAGUUUCGCA